AUUGCCUAAUUUAGGAUUAAUUUAAAUAAAUGUUUUGAUUUUAACUUUGAUUUUGAGGCCGAAUGGCGAGUGCAUUUUAUUCAGUUGGUGACUUGGAAUAGGUCAUUUACAUGGAUGCUUGACUUCAGGGAGCAUCAUAAUAAAUACUCUGUAGCGUUAAUCAAACUGCCAUUUAAUUACAUAGACUUAUAAAUACUGAUCCGCUGGUCGAGUUCUCGCAAGUGUGACUGCCCAUUCCCGGGUCGGGCAAAGUAUUUCUGGGCUUUUUUCGGUUUUUCGAAUUUUUUUCAGUAGUAGCACGGAGUCUGGAAUUGUGCCCAGUAUAGGCUCACCCCCUAUUACAUGGGACGUAUAACACAAAUGGUAAAAAGGUAAUUUAAAAAACUAAAAAAACCCGACUGCGUUUCUUUAUAAUACGAAAAUGAAAAAACCCUAAAACAAGAAAGUCAUCGUACCCAAUUGAAGCAGUCGGGACCCACUCUGAAUAUGAAGACUUAGUGAAGGUUCAUACGGCUGGCUUUCUAGAAUGUUUUUUAAUGAAAUUUAUUAAAUAGUGGCACCGUCUUACAUUGAUUUUAUGUUCAGGUUAACUUGGCUUGUAAAGACAAAAUCAUUUUAUUUUAAAAUAAUAAAACAAAUCAGUACACUAUGUAGUUUGAUUUAUUAAAGGUAUAGUCACAGACACAUCCCUAUAAUAUCUCUAAGUAUUAUUAAUGAUCUUAAAUUUUAUAUUAUACAUAGAUAUAU